rnacentral:rRNA from 1 species
UCCAGACUCCUACGGGAGGCAGCAGUGGGGAAUAUUGCACAAUGGGGGAAACCCUGAUGCAGCGACGCCGCGUGAGUGAAGAAGUAUUUCGGUAUGUAAAGCUCUAUCAGCAGGGAAGAAAAUGACGGUACCUGAUUAAGAAGCCCCGGCUAACUACGUGCCAGCAGCCGCGGUAAUACGUAGGGGGCAAGCGUUAUCCGGAUUUACUGGGUGUAAAGGGAGCGUAGACGGCGGCGCAAGUCCGGAGUGAAAGCCCACGGCCCAACCGUGGGACUGCUCUGGAAACUGUGCGGCUUGAGUGCGGGAGGGGCAGGCGGAAUUCCUAGUGUAGCGGUGAAAUGCGUAGAUAUUAGGAGGAACACCAGUGGCGAAGGCGACUUUCUGGACAGUAACUGACGUUGAGGCACGAAAGUGUGGGGAGCAAACAGGAUUAGAUACCCGAGUAAA